rnacentral:rRNA from 1 species
UGAGGAAUAUUGGUCAAUGGACGCAAGUCUGAACCAGCCAAGUAGCGUGCAGGAUGACGGCCCUAUGGGUUGUAAACUUCUUUUAUGUGGGGAUAAAGUGGGGAACGUGUUCCCUUUUGCAGGUACCAUAUGAAUAAGGACCGGCUAAUUCCGUGCCAGCAGCCGCGGUAAUACGGAAGGUUCGGGCGUUAUCCGGAUUUAUUGGGUUUAAAGGGAGCGUAGGCCGUUUGGUAAGCGUGUUGUGAAAUGUAGGAGCUCAACUUCUAGAUUGCAGCGCGAACUGUCAGACUUGAGUGCGCACAACGUAGGCGGAAUUCAUGGUGUAGCGGUGGAAUGAUUAGAUAUCAUGAAGAACUCCGAUUGCGAAGGCAGCUUACGGGAGCGCAACUGACGCUGAAGCUCGAAGGUGCGGGUAUCGAACAGG